CAGUAGACGUGUGAAUCAUCGAAUCUUUGAACGCACCUUGCACUUGAAGAGUCAAUUUUCAAGUAUACCUGUUUGAGUAUCAUACACAUUAAUCUGCAUAUUUUAAUUUUAUUUCGAUAUGUAGGAGCUGAGAGGACAGUGCUAAGGCGUUGUCUCUUUAAACGUAUGAAGGGAUGAUGUUGGAUUUUCAAAGAAUCUGAAAUGAGGAGGUUUGCGUAAGCAAAAGUCACAUACUAGGACCUUUGAAAAGCCAACAACUAAUCACACCUUGAAACAUUUUAGCCACCAACUCCGUAAGGAGUUGUCAGCAAAAAAGAACAAAUGUGAUCUCAAAUCAGGCAAGAUUACCCGCCCGAACUUAAGCAUAUCAAUAAGCGGAGG
rnacentral:rRNA from 1 species